UAGCUUCAGCAGCACAUAUACUAAAAUUGGAACGAUACAGUGAAGAUUAGCAUGGCCCCUGCACAAGGAUGACGCGCAAAUUUGUGAAGCAUUCCAUAUUUUU
rnacentral:snRNA from 1 species